CUGGAAUUAAAGGUGUGUGCUACCACUACCCUGGUCUUCUUUCAAUUUAUUUGAGAGCAGUUCUCUUCUUGCUAGGACUCCAGGCUGUGCUGGGUGACAAGGAUGACAUUCCUAGAGGCUGAGUGAAGAAGAGACAUGAAGAUCAACACCAGAUGAAUUGUAAAUUGAAAUGCGACCAGUGCAAUGGCGAAGAGUUCAGUGAGAAAACAAGAGAAUGCCCCUCUGUCACUGAAGUUGGCUAAGAUUGCUUAAGGUGAACACAGGUACCUGAAGAUGCUUUUGUUUUUCUCUGCCUGCCCUGCAGUGUUUUCCGCUUGUGGGCAUUUGAACAAAGGAUUCAUUAAGUGUGACUGGGAGCCCACCGGGAUAACCACACAAACACAGGGUGUAGCCAACUGAAAGUCUCUAUUCCUGCUGGCCAGUGUUUGAGGGAAGGCAAAAAUCACAUCUUGAAAUCUCGAUUGGCAGCUUCAGGGGGAGGUUUUGCAAAGGCAAGAAGCUUAACGGAAGCCUAGAUAAGCAGUCAUCUGGGAGAGAGGGUUCUGCACAAGCAAGCCGUUUAAGAAAGCUAAGGUAAGUUAUCUGGUCCAUCCCGACCUUGGGUUCCUAGAAUAGAAUCAACUAACUUUCCAUGGAGAUUCUUACCAAGAUGAUGAAAUUCUAGUCAAACCCAAAAUGGCCUCAACAAGAAACAAGAUGGAGGAAACCUCUGCACCAUCUUGCCCUGUCACAUGGGGACUCCCCUAGUCUGAUAUCAUUAGCUGUCCUUUCCUUUUGGGCAUCCUCUUGAGUUCUCACCUGCUUAUUUUAUCAAAGUGCUUUACUGCUGACUCAAGUCUAGCUUAUGAUCCCAGCCCGCUUUCACAUUAUCAUCAGCCAACACUUCCAUGGAUCAAAGUAAAAGACUGAGAGCAAAAGCUUGCCAACCUAAGGCAUUUAUGUCUAGCUUUCCAAAAGACAACAGUGACUGAAAUAGCAGACAUGAACACCGAGAAUCAGAAGCCCAAAGAAAAAUUGCAUGAUGGCUGAAGAGCAAUUAUUGAAGCACGGGAGUACACAAUUAGAGUGGGUGUUAGGAAAAGUCCAUUUAGACCCGGAACCUGAGCUCCAGUGGGUUUGCAGGUCCUGGUUUACUGCCCUCUGGUCUGUUCAUGCUUCUUUAUCUAGCUGUGGCCCCCCCUGGCAACAGCAGCACUCCAGGGAGCUGGAUAGUGUUGUAGGAUCUCAGACCCCAGACCCUAUCAAAUCGGAGCCUGUGUUUUAUCAUGACCUCUUGAGAUGAUUUACAUGCAUGUAAAAAUUUGGGGAC